CCGCUAAUUCGUUAUAUGCCCGAUCAUUCUCCCCAAACUACAGCAUCUCAGUUUACUUGACGUUCCUGGAAUACAAAAAGUUUUAGACACUGAGAAUUUCGCAAAAUAUCUUGAAUAAUGCAGUACAAAAUAUACCUAAGGCUCAAAAUUUUUACCUUUUUCUUUCCCAUCAUGUCUUUUUAAAACUAUUGUUUGGCAAGCACGGUUGUUAAAGGGACUUCUAUGUGUAAUUUGACAACAAGAGACCCACCUGUCGACGGAAAUGUUUCCACUCGUCUGGUCGAAACGACAGCAAUCAUUUUCCUUGAUAUCCUAGAACAAAAAGAUUUGGAGACACUGAGAAUUUAGAUUUCCAAGCGCAUGUUUAUAACACAAUCGGAAAAAAAAAAAAAAAGAAGGAUCACCAGUCUUGCAUUGAUGAAUACUGAAGGAUUUGAAUAGUGCAGAUAAUAUCUUCACGAGACAGGCUAAAAAUUUUUUCCUUUUUCU